CCGGAAAUGGCGCACCGGCGGCCUCCCACGGCCUGCCCUGAGCCCCCGCGCCGGGAGGUGCAACCCCUCGCCACAAGUCUCGAUGGUCUUUGGAAGCGGCAGCAAUGAGAGAAUAAAGCCAAGCAAAAUAAAACGGAAUAAAGCCAAAUCAAAACAAACCAGUGCAAGUGACACAGGACUUCAAAACAACAGAAAAUCAACAAUUAUUAUCAUAAUGCCUCUUGUGGUCUUCAAAAUAGCUGCAGAUACCUUCAGACAUAGUAAAAAUCAAACAAAACAGAAGAGAAUAGAACAAAUGAAAACAAAACACUGAACACAAUACAAGACUUCAAAACAAGAUAAUGACUUGAAGCUGUGUGCCUCCUGAGACGAGAAUGCGUGGUACCCACUGAGGGCCUUUAGAUACAGCCGUGUGGGGUCUCUCUGACUGCUGAUCACAACUGUGACCCCCUUUAGCUGGAGUUGCCAGAACGGUCAUUGCCCCCUGUCCUCCCAUGGCGGUCAGGAGUACAUCUUCAGAGCUGGGAGUAUUACAGACAGCUAAGUUAAAUAGAAAUAUAUCAGGCACUCAGGAGCCAGUGCAGAAGAUGGGAAUACAUUACAACUGUGGGUGGAGGCACAUUCAUAGAAGGCCAGACCUCAAGUCAAAAGACAGAAUGAGUAUACCUACAUAUUUCCCGAGAAAUGAUUGAUAUUCUAAAUUGGCAUCAGUCACCUUGGGUGGGGACCAAAACCUCCUUAAUCCUACCUCCAAAAAAGUCCUUGUUCAGUCUACGCACACUUGCUAUGUGAUUUGCUGACCACUGGAUCAAUAUUAUCCAAGGGACCAUACUUGCAAUAUUAUUAGUUGAUCAUAGUUUUGUCCUGUCUUAUACCUGCCUUGUGAUUUAACUCCACAAAACUUCGCCUGAGAAGUAGGCUCAUGGGUAAACCACUUUCCGGAGCAUACUUCUGUCUCUCUUAGUCAGAAGCUUUCUUUCCUCUAACAAACAUUUCCUGCUGUUAACCUCCAUUGUUCCUUAGAAUUCAUUCUUUGAUUUUGGAGAACAUGAACUCAGCAUUCCAAACAUCUAGCAGGUUGGGAGUUAUAAUAUCUCCCUUGUAUUAUUUGGAUUAUUAUUAUUGCAGGUCCUGUAUCAUCCUUAUAUCAAUAGAUAUACAAUGGAAUUCUAUACAGCUAUAAAGAAGGAUAAAUUUGAGUUACUUUUAGAAAAGUGGAUCCAGGACUGGAGAUUUAGCUCAGUGGCAUAAGUGCCUGCCUGCCAAGAGUGAGGUUGUGAGUUUGAUCCCUGGUACAAAAAAAAGUGGAUGCACCUUGAAACCAUAAUCCUAUGUGAAGUAAAAUGGACCCCAACUUAAAUAUCACAUGGUUUCUCUUAUAUGAGAAACCCAAAGUAUAAGUAAUUUAAAGAGCAAACUAAGAGACAGACAAUAGGGAAUAGGGAGGUAGAUUUUUUACAGAUGGGAAGUGAACCUACGGGAGAGAAAAAAGAAGGAGGGGAGGGAAAAGGGAAGCACUUUUUAAAGAUUAAGAGGCAAUAUUUAU